rnacentral:rRNA from 2 species
CUGGUGUCAGCCGCCGCGGUAAUACCAGCACCCCGAGUGGUCGGGACGUUUAUUGGGCCUAAAGCAUCCGUAGCCGGUUCUACGAGUCUUCCGUUAAAUCCAACUGCUUAACAGGUGGGCUGCGGAAGAUACUAUAGAUCUAGGAGGCGGGAGAGGCAAGCGGUACUCGAUGGGUAGGGGUAAAAUCCGUUGAUCCAUUGAAGACCACCAGUGGCGAAGGCGGCUUGCCAGAACGCGCUCGACGGUGAGGGAUGAAAGCUGGGGGAGCAAACCGGAUUAGAUACCCGGGUAGUCCCAGCUGUAAACGAUGCAGACUCGGUGAUGAGUUGGCUAUAUGCCAUCUCAGUGCCGCAGGGAAGCCGUUAAGUUUGCCGCCUGGGGAGUACGGUCGCAAGACUGAAACUUAAAG